rnacentral:sRNA from 1 species
ACAGUCUGGAGUGUAUGUCAGUGUGAGCUGAAGACCAGCAGAGACUAGGAUGGAUGACGGCCUGUCCAGGGGCUGAAUGGACACAGGUGUCAGCAGGGCCACGUGGUAAAGGUGAGCCAGCCAUGAGAGGGUAUCUUGUGGCCAUAUUCCUGAGUGCUGUCUUCCUCUAUUAUGUACUGCAUUGCAUAUUAUGGGGAACGAAUGUCUAUUGGGUGGCACCUGUGGAAAUGAAACGGAGAAAUAAGAUCCAGCCUUGUUUAUCAAAGCCAGCUUUUGCCUCUCUGCUGAGGUUUCAUCAGUUUCACCCUUUUCUGUGUGCAGCUGAUUUUAGAAAGAUUGCUUCCUUGUAUGGUAGCGAUAAGUUUGAUUUGCCCUAUGGGAUGAGAACAUCAGGUCAGUAGUAUUAUUCUUACCUGGUUCUGUUAAAUUUGAGUGGUGUUUGAUGAGAAUGGCAUGUUAAUAUAAUUUUAAGGGCUUUUAUUCUUUCUGCUUCCUAAUGAUUUCCAAUGGAUAUGAUUUUGGGAUGGAAUGAAAUGAAUUACAUUUUAAAAUAUAAAUUCUCACUCCUUUUGAGGCAGUAUA